AAUAGUUUUAUGCCACAUCAGCAUUUUCAUCCUGAAUUUCAGCAUUUUAAUCCUGAAAAAAAUCAAAUCCAAAUUAAAAUCCUGAAAUUUAAGAUAAUAAUAUUGAUGUGGCAUAAAACUAUU
rnacentral:pre_miRNA from 1 species